UCCUACUUAGCUCAGUUGGUUAGAGCAUCUGACUGUUAAUCAGAGGGUCGCUGGUUCAAGUCCAGCAGUGGGAG
rnacentral:tRNA from 2 species